AGAUUGAACGCUGGCGGCAUGCCUAACACAUGCAAGUCGAACGGCAGCACGGGGGCAACCCUGGUGGCGAGUGGCGAACGGGUGAGUAAUAUAUCGGAACGUACCCGGAAAUGGGGGAUAACGUAGCGAAAGUUACGCUAAUACCGCAUAUGCCCUGAGGGGGAAAGCGGGGGAUUCGUAAGAGCCUCGCGUUUUCGGAGCGGCCGAUAUCGGAUUAGCUAGUAGGUGAGGUAAAGGCUCACCUAGGCGACGAUCCGUAGCUGGUCUGAGAGGACGACCAGCCACACUGGGACUGAGACACGGCCCAGACUCCUACGGGAGGCAGCAGUGGGGAAUAUUGGACAAUGGGCGAAAGCCUAGAUCCAGCAACGCCGCGU
rnacentral:rRNA from 1 species